UAUGUAUAAUAUGAAUAUUUAUUAAUACCGUAUAGCAGGAAAUUUUUGUUGCCAGAAACUUUCUUCAUCUUGCUUUACAAGAUAUUUUUGUUGCGUUUUGCCUAACAUAAAUUUUCACUGUCACGCCCACUUUAUUAGUGCCAUGUCUAUUGUUUAAUGGAAGAAUGUCUAUGGUUUGUGGUUACCACAUUUAUAAAGACAUUUGGAGCCCAUCAGUUGGAGAAGAACUGCCCUUCUGUGUCGAGCCUGAUGAUGCUACAGAUCACUAUGCUGUGGCUGUAGUGGAAAAGGGCAAUCAUGAGUUAAUAACAAUGAAUCAAAUGUAUUGUUUUGAAGGAGAAGUGAAGAAAAAAUACAAUGGUAAAAUGGCUGAUUUAUUUACUGAGGUCUUUAACUGGUUACCAUUAGCACAUGUCAUUGACAAUAAAGUCUUGGUUAUACAUGGGGGGCCUGUUCAGUACUGAUGAUGUCAUGAUUUAAGAAAAAUAGAUCGAAACAGACAACCCCCAGAGGAAGGUUUGAGUUAUGGUCCGAUCCUCAGGACAUGCCUGGUAGGGGGCCCAGUAAAAGGGGUGUGGCUCUACAGUUUGGACCGGACAUAGAUAUUAGAGUAAAUGAAAGGGAUAGGAAACUUCCGUUGCGUGGGUGGAUUAUUCCAUUGAGAUUAUUAGGUUGCCUAGCAACUUAAGCUAGUUACCCCUGGCCAGACUUGCUCUCUCCAUCUCUGCAGCACUGAUUUUCACCUAUAGCACUUGCAUAGUAGUGAUUGCAGUGCCAUAUGAUACUUCAAAGAAAUCAGCUGUUAUACCACUAUCAUGCUGUAGCCAAAAAUAGCAAGAUUUACGCUCUUCUAUUGCAUUUAUUAGCGAUUAAAAGUUAAAAAAGUACUAGUUUGUUCUUUGGUCCCCAUUAUCUCAAAA